GACGAACGCUGGCGGCGUGCCUAACACAUGCAAGUCGAACGGGGUAAUUUCCUUCGGGAGGUUACUUAGUGGCGAACGGGUGAGUAACGCGUGAGGAACCUGCCUUUCAGUGGGGGACAACAGUUGGAAACGACUGCUAAUACCGCAUAAUGUAUUCGAGCGGCAUCGCUUGAAUACCAAAGAUUUAUUGCUGAAAGAUGGCCUCGCGUCUGAUUAGCUAGUUGGUGGGGCAACGGCUCACCAAGGCGACGAUCAGUAGCCGGUCUGAGAGGAUGAACGGCCACAUUGGGACUGAGAUACGGCCCAG
rnacentral:rRNA from 1 species